GAGCGUGUCAACGCCCAUCGCGGACAUCUACGAGCAGGAGAAGGAUGAGGAUGGCUUCCUCUAUAUGGUCUACGCCUCCCAGGAAACCUUCGGCUUCUGAGCCAGCAGCCUAUGCCUGUUUGCCCACCUGCCCCUCACUCACCUGAGACUCUGCCCCUGCCUGGACCUGCCCACCCCUGAAAGACUGGCCCUUGGCUCCCUUGGUCUCCACAUGAACAUUGUCCCUCUGCAGAAUAAAGAUUGCUCAGGCCUGCCUG